AGAUAGUAUUGAGGACCAUUGAGGUGGUGUGCUCUGAGAAUUCAGCAUCCGGCAAUGUAAUAUCCAAUGGCUUUAGUAAGGAUGACCAUUCUAGUGUUGUUGUUGAGCUUCUAACUUCUUCAGCCUGGUGCCUUCUCUUAGAAAGGGUUGGUGAUAGUGUAAUGAUGUACUUGCUCAAGUGUGCGUCAAUCUUUUUGCCAUAUCCUUGUAAGAAACUCUUUCGGG